AGUUUUAUAAUUUAAUAAAAAUAUUAAUUUUGUAAAUUAAAAAUACCUUCUUAUAGGUUAAAACUA
rnacentral:tRNA from 1 species